UACGUAGGUGGCAAGCGUUGUCCGGAUUGACUGGGCGUAAAGGGCGUGCAGGCGGUCUGUUAAGUGCAGGGUGAAAGCUCCCGGCUCAACUGGGAGAGGUCCUUGCAUACUGGCGGACUUGAGGGGGGUAGAGGAAAGUGGAAUUCCCGGUGUAGUGGUGAUAUGCGUAGAUAUCGGGAGGAACACCUGUGGCGAAGGCGGCUUUCUGGGCCCUACCUGACGCUGAGACGCGAAAGCGUGGGGAGCGAACCGG
rnacentral:rRNA from 1 species